ensembl:lncRNA
GGGGAAGAGCCUGAAUGGGGAGGUAGAGCAGACAGCUAAAGUGGCUGCUGAGCACAGGAGGGGAGAAGCCUUUUGCUGGGCCAAGAAGAGGAGAACUGCCUCAGGGACAGCGGAGAUCAAGGAGUGGACUGCAAGAUACACUCAGGAACAAUUAUAGCAGACCAGGCUGUAGGCAGCACAUGAUGGAUGGAUGGGCUGAGACAGCGAGAUCGCAUAAGCUGCAUUCCCCUGGGAAACCAGACUGAAAACACAUAAGCAGAGGGGCAGUCUGACAACAAGGCAUCUGACAUGGAAGUGUGGAUGAAGCAAAGGUGUGUCACUGAAUUCCUCCAUGUGGAAAAGAUGGCACCCACUGACAUUCACUGAAGCUUGAUGUAUGUUUAUGGAGACCAAACGCUUUCAAACUCAACGUCUUGACUGAGAGUCUAAAAUCACCUUCCUGGCAUCAGAGUGCUCUUCAGGGCAUCAGGCAGCUGAGUCUAUGAUUAGAGCAAGG